rnacentral:rRNA from 1 species
GCAUCCUAUGGGACGCAGCAGUAGGGAAUAUUGCUCAAUGGGGGAAACCCUGAAGCAGCAACGCCGCGUGGAGGAUGAAGGUUUUAGGAUUGUAAACUCCUUUUGUUAGAGAAGAUUAUGACGGUAUCUAACAAAUAAGCACCGGCUAACUCCGUGCCAGCAGCCGCGGUAAUACGGAGGGUGCAAGCGUUACUCGGAAUCACUGGGCGUAAAGAGUGCGUAGGCGGGGUAAUAAGUCAGAUGUGAAAUCCUGUAGCUUAACUACAGAACUGCAUUUGAAAAUGUU